UACGUAGGGUCCGAGCGUUGUCCGGAAUUACUGGGCGUAAAGAGCUCGUAGGUGGUUUGUCGCGUUGUUCGUGAAAACUCACAGCUCAACUGUGGGCGUGCGGGCGAUACGGGCAGACUGGAGUACUGCAGGGGAGACUGGAAUUCCUGGUGUAGCGGUGGAAUGCGCAGAUAUCAGGAGGAACACCGGUGGCGAAGGCGGGGCUCUGGGCAGUAACUGACGCUGAGGAGCGAAAGCGUGGGGAGCGAACAGG
rnacentral:rRNA from 1 species